GAGCCUGCAACUGAGGUCUGUACCCUUGACUAGAAUCGAACCCAGAGCCCUUCAGUCCACAGGCCGACACUCUAUCCACUGAGGCACACUGGCCAGGGCACAGGGUUUUCACUGAGAUAGACAAAUGCUGGACUUCUGAGUUAACAGGGAUCUGUAAAACUUUACGUGGAGACUAUAUACACGUGUGUAUAAAGAUAAACAUACAUGUGACACGUGUGUGUGUAUAUACACGCAAUGCCAUGUGCUUGGCUCCCAGGACAGAACUCGCAGAGGGAGGGAAACAGGCCAUGCGGUGUGAUGACAGUGGCCCCGGGAGUUUAAUGUUCUUCCCUGAACGACGUGCGUUUUCACGUCCUGCCGUGUCUGAGCCCUGCCCCUGGUCCCCGUGGGGGCCUGUGUGUAGUCGUGACGUCGACUCACCUAGUUCACAUUGUGUGUGUAGUCGGACUCAGAGCGGGUGUCAGAGUGAGAAGCGAGUUAAUUGUGCGUCCUCUCCAUGCCUUACGAUGCCGCUGCAGCUGCGCCUGCAGGUGGACAGGACACCAGGUAACGCCUCCCCGCCACGUCCCUGCACGCCCCUCGCCCGACAUUCCCGCUCAUGACCUCCUCGGCCAGCGUCGCGCCCACCGCUCAGCGUGCUCGUCCCCGCGCUGCCGCAUCCCUUUCGCUCUUUUCAAAACAUGAACUGGUUUUGGUGACUUCGUGUCGGUCCAUUUGUCAUGGUCUCAUCUCAUGAGCGUCAGAACGGCAUCCGGGUCCAUCCACACGCAUCGCGCUCGCGUGCGAACCUCCUCGGCUUCGCGGCGUCUCGGAGACGCGGCGGGGCCGCGGGAACGGCUCCUGAGCCGGAAUGUUUUGUUCUCAGGGUGAAAUGAUCAACAACAUAGAGAAGAACGUGAUGAACGCGGCGGACUACGUGGAACACGCCAAGGAGGAGACGAAGAAAGCCAUCAAGUAUCAGAGCAAAGCGCGCAGGAAAAAGUGGAUCCUGGUGGCCGUGGCGGUGGUGCUGGUCGCUGUCGUGGCUCUGAUUAUUGGCUUAUCGGUUGGCAAGUGAGGCUGCAGAUGACGCCAGGGUGCAUGCCUCUGCCGCGCGGCAAAAAUGAUGUGCAUUGUUAUUUGUGUAAUUAUUUUGCUUGUGAUCCUUGGAAUUAUCCUAGCAACAACAUUGUCAUAGCAACCGUAGCCUACGAGCCCUUCGUCCUGGAGCCAGCCCUCCCACGUCUGCAGCAAGCCAGCCCUCCACGUGGCUCACGGGCCCGGGCGUGGCGGCCGUGGCACCAAGCGCGCUGAGGGACACGGAGAACGCUGCCCGCAGCCUGGACGCGAUGCGUUAGCCCCGCAUCCUCGGCUCCAUGAACAGCACGCCGCAAACCUUCAGCAAUGUGAAACAGUGGCCUUAAGAUGGGAAUGAUUGACAUUUUCAAUUUUUUAUAUUUCAGUGUUAAGACUAUUUGUAUGUCGCGUUUCAUGAGGAAUAUUUUAUGUUUGAAGCCACGCGA